CUGCUCAGAUACUCCAGCAUUCUGUGUGAAUAUCAGAAUUUUUAAGUAUGUGCCAUGACCUGAGAAAUGCUUCCACAUUGGAAGAGGAAAGACCAGAAGGAGGUUCUGUCACACAGAGAUGGGUGUUUGAGGCUCAGCAUACAGAGAUGAGAUACCAGAAAUGGAUGAGCCAGUCAGAGGAACGAGACGCCAUCUACCAAUGAGCCUGCUGAAGUUCCUGAAACCGCAGAUUCUUCCUCGUUAUUCUUCUUGCCCUGCCACAUGUACAUAGAGGAAUCUUCCUUCCCUUUUGAUUGGGCAGUGCCUGGGAGGGUCAGGGCUUGCUGGCUUCUCUUCAGCUGAUUUCUAGAUGCCUAUUUGUUCCUUGAGACAUGAGGGG
rnacentral:lncRNA from 1 species